rnacentral:hammerhead_ribozyme from 16 species
CGGCCGUCUGCGGGUACCGCACUGAUGAUGGUCUCUGAAAUGAGGCCGAAACGGAAA